rnacentral:rRNA from 1 species
UACCAGCACCCCGAGUGGUCGGGACGUUUUAUUGGGCCUAAAGCAUCCGUAGCCGGUUCUACAAGUCUUCCGUUAAAUCCACCUGCUUAACAGAUGGGCUGCGGAAGAUACUAUAGAGCUAGGAGGCGGGAGAGGCAAGCGGUACUCGAUGGGUAGGGGUAAAAUCCGUUGAUCCAUUGAAGACCACCAGUGGCGAAGGCGGCUUGCCAGAACGCACUCGACGGUGAGGGAUGAAAGCUGGGGGGAGCAAACCGG